GGGUUGUGAGGUUAAGCGACUAAGCGUACACGGUGGAUGCCCUGGCAGUCAGAGGCGAUGAAGGACGUGCUAAUCUGCGAAAAGCGCCGGCGAGGUGAUAUGAACCUUUGACCCGUCGAUGUCCGAAUGGGGAAACCCAGUGUGAUUCGUCACACUAUCGUUAACUGAAUACAUAGGUUAACGAGGCGAACCGGGGGAACUGAAACAUCUAAGUACCCCGAGGAAAAGAAAUCAACCGAGAUUCCCCCAGUAGCGGCGAGCGAACGGGGAGCAGCCCGGAGUCUGAAUCAGCUUGUGUGUUAGUGGAAGCGUCUGGAAAGUCGCACGGUACAGGGUGACAGUCCCGUACACGAAAAUGCACAGGUUGUGAACUCGAAGAGUAGGGCGGGACACGUGGUAUCCUGUCUGAAUAUGGGGGGACCAUCCUCCAAGGCUAAAUACUCCUGACUGACCGAUAGUGAACCAGUACCGUGAGGGAAAGGCGAAAAGAACCCCGGCGAGGGGAGUGAAAAAGAACCUGAAACCGUGUACGUACAAGCAGUGGGAGCACCUUCGUGGUGUGACUGCGUACCUUUUGUAUAAUGGGUCAGCGACUUAUAUUCUGUAGCAAGGUUAACCGUAUAGGGGAGCCGCAGGGAAACCGAGUCUUAACUGGGCGUUAAGUUGCAGGGUAUAGACCCGAAACCCGGUGAUCUAGCCAUGGGCAGGUUGAAGGUUGGGUAACACUAACUGGAGGACCGAACCGACUAAUGUUGAAAAAUUAGCGGAUGACCUGUGGCUGGGGGUGAAAGGCCAAUCAAACCGGGAGAUAGCUGGUUCUCCCCGAAAGCUAUUUAGGUAGCGCCUCGUGAACUCAUCUUCGGGGGUAGAGCACUGUUUCGGCUAGGGGGCCAUCCCGGCUUACCAACCCGAUGCAAACUACGAAUACCGAAGAAUGUUAUCACGGGAGACACACGGCGGGUGCUAACGUCCGUCGUGAAGAGGGAAACAACCCAGACCGCCAGCUAAGGUCCCAAAGUCAUGGUUAAGUGGGAAACGAUGUGGGAAGGCACAGACAGCCAGGAUGUUGGCUUAGAAGCAGCCAUCAUUUAAAGAAAGCGUAAUAGCUCACUGGUCGAGUCGGCCUGCGCGGAAGAUGUAACGGGGCUAAACCAUGCACCGAAGCUGCGGCAGCGACACUAUGUGUUGUUGGGUAGGGGAGCGUUCUGUAAGCCGUUGAAGGUGUGCUGUGAGGCAUGCUGGAGGUAUCAGAAGUGCGAAUGCUGACAUAAGUAACGAUAAAGCGGGUGAAAAGCCCGCUCGCCGGAAGACCAAGGGUUCCUGUCCAACGUUAAUCGGGGCAGGGUGAGUCGACCCCUAAGGCGAGGCCGAAAGGCGUAGUCGAUGGGAAACAGGUUAAUAUUCCUGUACUUGGUGUUACUGCGAAGGGGGGACGGAGAAGGCUAUGUCAGCCGGGCGACGGUUGUCCCGGUUUAAGCGUGUAGGUGUGUGUUCCAGGCAAAUCCGGUUCACUUUAACACUGAGGCGUGAUGACGAGGCACUACGGUGCUGAAGUGAUAAAUGCCCUGCUUCCAGGAAAAGCCUCUAAGCAUCAGGUAACACGAAAUCGUACCCCAAACCGACACAGGUGGUCAGGUAGAGAAUACCAAGGCGCUUGAGAGAACUCGGGUGAAGGAACUAGGCAAAAUGGUGCCGUAACUUCGGGAGAAGGCACGCUGAUAUGUAGGUGAAGUCCCUGCGGACGGAGCUGAAAUCAGUCGAAGAUACCAGCUGGCUGCAACUGUUUAUUAAAAACACAGCACUGUGCAAACACGAAAGUGGACGUAUACGGUGUGACGCCUGCCCGGUGCCGGAAGGUUAAUUGAUGGGGUUAGCGGCAACGCGAAGCUCUUGAUCGAAGCCCCGGUAAACGGCGGCCGUAACUAUAACGGUCCUAAGGUAGCGAAAUUCCUUGUCGGGUAAGUUCCGACCUGCACGAAUGGCGUAAUGAUGGCCAGGCUGUCUCCACCCGAGACUCAGUGAAAUUGAACUCGCUGUGAAGAUGCAGUGUACCCGCGGCAAGACGGAAAGACCCCGUGAACCUUUACUAUAGCUUGACACUGAACGCUGGUCCUUGAUGGUUAGGAUAGGUGGGAGGCUUUGAAGCGUGGACGCCAGUCUGCGUGGAGCCGUCCUUGAAAUACCACCCUUUAAUGGCUGGUGUUCUAACGUGGACCCGUAAUCCGGGUUGCGGACAGUGUCUGGUGGGUAGUUUGACUGGGGCGGUCUCCUCCCAAAGAGUAACGGAGGAGCACGAAGGUUAGCUAAUCCUGGUCGGACAUCAGGAGGUUAGUGCAAUGGCAUAAGCUAGCUUGACUGCGACAGUGACGGCUCGAGCAGCUGCGAAAGCAGGUCAUAGUGAUCCGGUGGUUCUGCAUGGAAGGGCCCUCGCCCAACGGAUAAAAGGUACUCCGGGGAUAACAGGCUGAUACCGCCCAAGAGUUCAUAUCGACGGCGGUGUUUGGCACCUCGAUGUCGGCUCAUCACAUCCUGGGGCUGAAGUAGGUCCCAAGGGUAUGGCUGUUCGCCAUUUAAAGUGGUACGCGAGCUGGGUUUAGAACGUCGUGAGACAGUUCGGUCCCUAUCUGCCGUGGGCGCUGGAGAAUUGAGGGGGGCUGCUCCUAGUACGAGAGGACCGGAGUGGACGCAUCACUGGUGUUCGGGUUGUCAUGCCAAUGGCACUGCCCGGUAGCUAAAUGCGGAAGAGAUAAGUGCUGAAAGCAUCUAAGCACGAAACUUGCCCCGAGAUGAGUUCUCCCUGAGACUUUAAGUCUCCUGAAGGAACGUUAAAGACUAUGACGUUGAUAGGCCGGGUGUGUAAGCGCAGCGAUGCGUUGAGCUAACCGGUACUAAUGAACCGUGAGGCUUAACCUUACAACGCCGAAGCUGUU
rnacentral:rRNA from 1 species